GAUGAACGCUGGCUGCGUGCCUAAUACAUGCAAGUCGAGCGAAGCGGCGACGGGUGAGUAACACGUGGAUAACCUCCUAUCCGUCUCGGAUAACUUCGGGACCCCGUAGCUAAACCGGAUACUUAUAGAUGGAUCCGCGCUGCAUUAGCUAGGUGGUUAGGUAACGGAUGACAAAAGCAACGAUGCAUAGCCGACCUGCGAGGAUGAGCAGGCACACUGGAACUGAAACGCGCUCCAGACUCCUACGGGAGGCGGCAGUAGAGGGACGACCGCAAUGAGCGGAAGCCUAGCCGGGAAACGCCGCGUAAGUGAUGAAGGGCAUGGGAUCGGAAAACUCAGUUAUUAGGGAAGCGGUACCAAAUCAGAAAGCCACGGCUAACUCCGUGCCAGCAGCCGCGGUAAUAC
rnacentral:rRNA from 1 species